rfam:Cricetulus griseus cell line CHO-K1, whole genome shotgun sequence.
GGAGAGAUGGCUCAGUGGUUAAGAGCACUGGCUGCUCUUCCAGAGGACCUGGGUUCAAUUCCCAGCACCUACA